rnacentral:lncRNA from 1 species
GGAACACGUGGGAGGACACGCCCCCUGGUGGCCGGCCGGAGAGUUGCAGUUAAUUUCCGUUUCUCUCAUUCAAACUUUUUUAAGAUGCAAAAUCACUUCUCAACUUAGAGGCUGGGAAGAGCGUGAGGAGAGGGUUGAAGUCACAGGAGAGGCCCCCUUUAAGGAGUCAGGGAACCAACGGUCCCGGUUUGCCCGGACUAAAAGAUGGUCUGGGACCGACCUGGACUUUCAGGGCUAAAAUCCUGCAAGUCCUGGACAAACUGAGACAAGCUGGUCCCCCAACGUUUAUCCCGUUCACUCUGUUGCUAUAUAGAGACCAGACCUCUACAGGGGUUUAAAUAAAAGUCUGGUGGUUUAAACAGGAACAAAGAUUGAGAGAAGUCUGAGGAAUGGCGCAAUUUCCUGAAAGAAAGCAGGUGGAGUUGGCAUCUCUUUCUCGUCACCAAACUGUGAAGUCAGAAAGGGCAGGAGCCGGGUACCUUCUCUCUGAAACGUCAGCAUCCACCACAAAGGAGCCAUGUGGGUUGCCAAGGCCCUACGAGUCUGGCUCUUGGAGACUGGAGUCUGUGAGCUGCUUCUUUCCACUGUGCAUAGCAGGGGACCUGCGGAAGAGCUCCUGGUCACAAAGAAACUCAACAAGAAGCCGGACGUUAACAUCUGUAGGUCAUAUAAGCCAUAGUCAUGAAAGGACAUUGUUUAGAAAGUACUGCAAUAUGCUUUGAGCCAGUUACCUUUCAGCAGCCAAAAGCACAGCAAUAGGAACUCCACUGUGUGUGUGGACUUUAUCAAUAUAUCCAUAUGUACACAUAUAUAAUUUCUUAAUAUAAACACAUUACACUGUG